UGGAUAUUAGUUAAUAAAUAACAUUUAAAUUGCAUUUAAAAAUUAAUAUAAUUUAUAUUAUAUCUAA
rnacentral:tRNA from 1 species